CAAUAGCGUAUAUUAAAGUUGUUGCGGUUAAAAAGCUCGUAGUUGGAUUUCUGCUGAGAACGACCGGUCCGCCCUCUGGGUGUGUAUCUGGCUCUUUCUUGGCAUCUUCUUGGUGAACGUUGCUGCACUUGACUGUGUGGAGCGCUACCCAGGACUUUUACUUUGAGGAAAUUAGAGUGUUUCAAGCAGGCAUACGCCUUGAAUACAUUAGCAUGGAAUAAUAAGAUAGGACCUCGGUUCUAUUUUGUUGGUUUCUAGAGCUGAGGUAAUGAUUAAUAGGGAUAGUUGGGGGCAUUCGUAUUUAACUGUCAGAGGUGAAAUUCUUGGAUUUGUAAAAGACGGACUACUGCGAAAGCAUUUGCCAAGGAUGUUUNCAUUGA
rnacentral:rRNA from 1 species